AAAUGGGUUCUACAUGCUACGUGAGGUCUAUCGAGAUCUGCAUGCUACAUGAGGGCUAUCCCAGAGUCUCUUUUGCUCUAAAGUGAUCACCUACAUUUUAUGCUGUUUACUUCAAUAAAGUAUCUGAAAGGGACUUCAAAGAAACCAGAUCUUUGUCCCGCAGAAUUUCCAGUGUUCCGGAUUUGGCUGAGCUGUAUCACGCUGGUGGGAUUUAGCGUGCUCUUUUGUAUUUGACAGCUAUUUCUGGGGAGAGUUCCUUGACCUGGGUUUUUCUGAGAUUACCUCAUCAUGAGACUUUGAUUUCCUGAUUCUGGCAACUACCUAGAAGAGGUGACAUUGUAUCACAUGGCACAGGCUGCCAUGGUGACUUGUUGCCUUGCUGUGUGGUUAACUGUUUCUUGGUGAGGGUAUCUGGUAGGUUUUACCACCGAGCCCUGUUUUCAAUUAGUAAGAAGUCUCCAAAGAAAUACUUAGAGACUAUUUCACAUUUUUCUCCUAGUAGGAUUUUUGCCCGCUGGUCUUAGCAUUCAGUGGUGAUUCUUGCCAGAAUGACUUGGUCCUGCACCGAUAACCAAAUGUUGACACUCUGAUCCUCUCAUUCCCUCUAGAUUCAUUGAUGAGCAUCGUAAAGUAAGGAAAAGCCUCCCCUUCACACAUUUAUCUAUCAUUUAGAUCAGUGUGGGCUCAUGGGUUCCGAUUUUAUGCUGUAGAUUAUAACCCAGAACAUCACUAGUCACUUUAUUUGUCUCUCAAGGAUAGUUGCUUUGUUUAUAUAUACUUACUUAGUCAUUUCACACCUGCAUGUGUAUAUUUGUGAGCACCCGUGUGCUGUGGCAGUGUGUGGAGAUCAGACGACAGUGUGGAUUCCUGGGGCUGAGCUAGGACUAUCAGGCUUAGUGGCAAGUGCAUUUACCCACCAAGCCAUCCCUCCAACCCUUGUCUUCUCAUUAUCACCCCUCUGUUGCCAGGACAGACUGUGUCCUCUAAAAAAAAAAAGCCCCAUCAAUCAAGUCCACCUUGUGUUUUCUCUGCACCGUCUCCGGGGUUUGUGUUUAUGGAACCAAAAACUCCAUGGAGACUUAAUUAACCUUGUAGUGGAGAAUGGUGUUCAGAAGUGCAUUCUGAGAGCCUGCUGCUGAGGACUCAUAGACCACAAGACUCUUCUGCACACACAGCUAGGAUGCACAUGUAUGUGUGUGUGUUUGUGUGCACCCGCUUUAAAAGGACAAGAGAAGGAGAGGGAAAGGGAGGAGAGAGAGGAAGACUAUCUUUUCUCCACAGUACCCAGAGGACUGUGAAGAGCAGAGCAGAGCCUCGCAGAACCUUCCAGUGAAACAAAGCUUUGACUCCUUUCCACCCAUCCAGUCAUUCUGCUGCGGUCAACUAGGAGAGACCAGAGCUGUAUGUGAAAGCCCAAGACUUUCAUUCUGCAAUGGAGGAGCUGCUAAGAAGUUCCUUUCCUAGUCCAGUACAACCCAGCCAGGCUCUACCUAACUCAAAAGCCAACUAGAGAGGCCACUGACCCCGGAAUUGAGUGGACUCUGUCAAGUCUCAUGUGUAAAGGAACAAAAGUCCCUGACCAAAGCGGGGCCUGCAGGAAUGCAGGUCUUCUGUGGCAUGCUGUUUACCAGACAUCUGGACAGACCUGCAAAAGAGAGGGUCUCUUGAGGAACCUGAAGUUGACUGUUGCAGCUCUGCCAGAUGACCAGCUGGGUUCCACCAUCUCUGCUUUCAGCAUUCAGGUUACAGAAAUAUACAGCCACAAUCAGGUUUCACUCGAGUGUUGGGAGUCCAAACUUCAAACUAAGCAUCAACCCAAGGGAUAAUCUUCCAAAGGUAUAAUUUUACACUUAUUUAUUUGUGGAUGUAUGUGCAUGGUUGCACACUCAUGUUGCUAUGUCCGUAUGGAGGUCAGAGGACCACUUGUGGGAAUCUGUUAUUUCUCCUGUGUGGGUCCCAGAGCUCAAACCUAAGUUGUUACAUUUACCCAUCUCACCAGCUAUAAGAUAUAAUUUUUAGUAGAUACUAAGCUCAGAGUCAC